GGAAAUUGGGAGGAGACCUUGUCCUUCAAUUUAACCAUGGGAUCAAAGCCCAGCUGAAGCUGGAGAGGUUCUGUCAUUGAUUUCUGUUUGUCUUUCUGCCUUUCCCUUCUCUGUCACUGCCCGUUCUCCUGUUAUCCGCUCUAGGGAUAAGCAAAUACCCCACAGCAAAGCUCAGACUUCUUUGUCGAGGGUAAUGCUGUGGCUUUGCAGGACAGAUACUGAAGCACCUUGAGAAAGCGGAAAGAUGGGAGCUUAACAUAGCAUGUCAUUUGCCAGGGGAAGCAAUGCCCUCCAGAUCCUCUGCUGGGAAGUUGAGAGCUGCCCCAAAACAUUCACAAGUAGAAGAUGCCCUCCAUGCCCUUUUAAUAGCUUUCCUGGCUUGCUCAACCUCUCAAAGACUGGAGCAAGAAAAUACUGUAACUGAUGGAGAUUGGCCACGGGAAAUCUAUCAAAAUUAUGUCCAAAUUGCUUUUGGGAGCAACAUUGCAACUGCCCGAGGAAGGAGAACAUGUUCAACCAGACCUGUUCAGACUAGACUGUAACUUCCUUCGCAUCCCUCAGAAGGUUCACAGACUCUUCAGAAGAGCCACCAUGUUCUGCUGACCUCUGGGAGGCUUUGCCGUGUACUGCAGCUCCCGAGCGAAGUUUGUACACCGAAGAUGUGUGUGACAUGGACGCCCUCUAAAGGAAAGAGCUGAGAGAACUCGAUUAAGUCCCACACAGGUGAAAUUGCAGAGAUUUAGGGGAGCAUGGGCAUGGGUGAGGCGAUUAUCAUCUCUCUUCAUCCAGGGUUUUUGUUCUGCCUCUAAAAUAUGCUUGGAAACAUUAUCUAUGCACUGCAGCCAUGAAUAAUUACAGCCAAUCUACUGCACACUUAGCUCCUGCCUUUCUCCUGAGCUUUUAAUUGUUGAGUCAGUUCACUACUUGGUACCUGGCAAAGCUUAUCCAUUUAUUUUUUAUAAUAAGCAGACAGUUACUCUAUGGUCCGAGCAGCUUCCACUCAAAAAUCAAGAUGGUGGCAAAUCCCUCAGCACAUCCGAGUCUAAGUCUUCUCUCCUUCCAGGAUCUGAACUCUGCACAAGGGAGGAUUUUAGUUGUUUUGUUUGAUAUUUAAAAAACCCCUUAUGUCCCUUGGGAACUUAAAGGGCUAAUUCUAGUUAUGAGGUUUUAUAUAUUUGCUUAUUCAGAAAGUUAGAAGUAGUCAGGCAGAUUGCCAGCCACAUCUUCACACAGCAAAGGCCGCUGCAGUGAAGGCUGCGUUAAUUACUGCCAUUCUGUGUCACUGCCUGCCUCCCUGCCAGGCCGAACACCCAUGCAGCAGGCUCCUGCAGGGCAGAAAGACGCUGAAGAGCUCUCAUGUCCUCAUGCCAGAGCAUGCGACUCCCUGCAGGCUCCUUCCUCCAGGCUCCUUCCCAGCCUGCCAGGGCAGCCUGCGAGGCAUUCUGCAGCUAGCAAAGGGCACAGAGGGCUGGGGAAGACCUCGUAGUCAGCCACUUACGUUGGAAGCAGCUUAUUUUUAACAACACAUUGGCAUCUCUUUACAGCCUUCUUGCACCACUGUAAGGAAAUAAAAAAAGGUGCCUCUUGCAGUCUGUUGACUUUAAGAGAGAUUUUCAAGAAACAACAUGGGCCAUUCUGGAAAGGGCUCACGAGUCAGGUUAAAUCAAUGCUCUGGAAAAAAAAUAAAUCAGGUUCUAAAAUAGGAACAAGGCCAGGAGGAUCCAGGCACUAAAAAUAAGCAUGAAGUCAUACUGCCUUUCCCUGGGAACUUGACUGCCUUGCUGCAGAAGGGCCUCCCGGAGCACAGGGCUGCCCGGUGCAGGCAGCAGCACGGGGCCGCCUUGCUGCCAUCAGAGGGAAUCCAGGAGCAGAGAGACACCAGGCUCGUCAGCCGCGCUUCCCUCCAGCUCAUGGCGCACAGCUCUUUCGGAUAACUCGAGGUGUUGCUUUCACAGACUCAGCAGUCCAGGUGGCCAGGUCAGAAAACAGAUGAGAUGGCCGCAUCACACAACACCAACGCUGAAAGCGCACUCUUGCUAUUGCUGUGCAGAACCAGGAAACCUUCCACGAGCACAUCUUCGAUUCAAAUCCUCCACUUCUCAGACAUUUCAGGGGUGACACUGGUUAAACACAGGGCUUUCAUCUGUACUCAGACUUCUCUGCUUUCAGACUCAGAUUUGCCUGCUUUCCAUUUCCAGCCACUGGAGCUUUUCACCACAAGGGUGUGGAUAAAGCUUUGGGGCCAGAAAGUGGCUAUUAGCUAUUCUUAUUUUUCCUCCCCUUGGUUCUGUUAUUGUUCAUAAGCUAAACAGGAUCCUAUAGAUUUCAUGGUACGUUUUAACAGUGAAGGAUAAUCAUAGUACAUACUAGAAACAUCACAAAUUCAAAGCACGGCACACACAUUUACUAACUAAUCUCUGACUAAUCCCCAAUCUCCAGCUAAUUAGUCUUUUUUGAAGUGUGCCCCUUCCUACACUAGCUAAUACUUGUUCAGCCUUUUGAAGCAUUUAGCAUGCUAAGUACAAUCAUGCAUGUCUCCCUAGUAAACAGGGCACAUGAAGAAGGAAUAAAUGCAAUUAACAAGCAGCACAAUGGUGCAAAAGUUCUGUGUAUGGAGCCCAGGCCUAGCUCUGAGCUCACGUACCACCACCGAAGCUGACCCCAGCCACCUCCAGGCUUCCCUGCAUUGGCUGCUGAGCCCUCAGCUGAGGUUACAGCUGCAGAAGUGGCCUCUGGAAGAGUCAACCCUCACCCUAGUGCUAAAUUAAACAUGCUUAGGUCUUUGUCUUUCUCUUGCCUCCACCGUAGCAGACACAGGAUGGAGCAAGGGCAACGACCCUCCCCAUGGCCCCUGUCAGAGGCACCCCAUCACCCUCACCCACCCCCCAGACGCCCACUGUCACACUCCAGGCCCACCCCUGCACCCCGAGAGCCGGGCCCGGUGCCUCGGGCGAUGCCCCGGCCAUACGGAGGGCAGCGGGGCUGAACAAGGCCGGCGGGAGAGGCUGCUGCCCGCCGCUGAGGGACGGGACUACACUUCCCAUCAGCCCCCGCGCCUCCCGCGAGCCUGGGCGGGCGCGCGCAGCCCGCGCCCCCCCCCCCCUCUCCGCGUUCGCUUCCGGACGACAUGGCGGCUGGGCUGCGGGCGAGCAUGGCAUGGUGUCAAGCAAGAAUAACAACACUCACCUGCCUGGGAAGCUGAUUCCUUCCCUGAACUGACAGUAAACCUGCACAAUGGAGGAAAUAUUCCUGCAGAACCCUGGGGCUGUACCUUCUCCCAAAGUCAGCUUUGGCAAAAGGGCAGCUGCUAAGUUGGGCAUCAGGCUGAAGAUCAAUAACAUUCACUGACAGGCUGAACCAACAGACUUGAUGACAGUGGACUUCCUUAAAUUAAGCUCUAGAAGGAAGAUUGGAGCAGGUCUCACAAAUGGCUGCUGCUGGGUGUAAAAUGGCCACCUGUGCGUAGCCUCAGGCUCCUCUUCGCUGCUUGGUGGUUGCUGCAACCACUUCAUUGGACCUGAUCUACAGGAGGAAGAAGUGGUUCCCUACUGUCUUCUGUUCCAGAAUAAAAUAAGUUAUGGAAAAAU